AUGGGGGAAGAGGAGGAGCAUGAGUUGAGCUGAGGUGGGCUUAGGGACGACUGACAACUGAACCACGCCCACAGAGCUCAACGUUACCUGGUUAGCUCAUGCUAAGGAGCUAGGCUACAUGCUACCCGCCGCUGCUAAACGGCUAGCGCUGCGGUGUAUAUGCUUCGGGAUGGUCUCGGCCGUCACAACCAACUUAACUUAAGAGAGAGAAGUCAAGGGACUUGAUGUGGACUGUUAUCAACAGCGCUUACAUCAGUUCUGGCUGAGAUGAUUUGUGUUGCUUCCACCUGCUGAACACAGAAUAAACU